rnacentral:lncRNA from 10 species
UUUCUCUUCACCCAUUACUAAUUAGAGUUAGGAGAACACUGUUGACAUGAAUCAGAGUGUAUUAUUUUUCUUUUUUUGAGACAGAGUCUUGCUCUCUUGCCCAGGCUGGAGUGCAGUGGCACAAUCUUGGCUUACUGCAACCUCUCCCUCCCAGGUUCAAGCGAUUUUCCUCCCUCAGCCUCUCGAACAGCUGGGAUUAUAGGCACCCACCACCACACCCAGAUAAUUUUUGUAUUUUUAGUAGAGACGGGGUUUCACCAUGUUGGCUGGGCUGGUCUCGAACUCCUGACCUCAAGUGAUCCAUCUGCCUUGGCCUUCCAAAGUGCUGGGAUUGCAGGAGUGAGCCACCGCACCUGGCCCAGAGUGUAUUAUUAAAUACAACAUUACUCCUACUUUAUUGGAUUGUUUCUUUUCCGACACUUCUGGAACUCCUCCUUCUCCCCACUCAGCAACUCAUGCAUCUUUGACCCAUGACUCUGCUUUUUCCACACUCACUCUUGAUAUCACCGGCUGUGUGACUUCAAUUCUCUCCACCUGCCAGGUCCUGACACCCUUUUUGCCUUGAACUCUCUCAGAGUUCUGUGCCGCAUUUCUUGUCCACUUAGCUCCCAACAAGGGAGGGAGAAGGGAAAGAGUGUGCUUUAGGGAGGGAGGAGAGUAGGCAUGGUGAGAGAUGACAAUGACAAUGGUGAUGAUGAUGAUGACAUUUAUUAGCCAUAAGAGGAGAAAAGCCAAGUCAAAAUCCUAUUUAAGAUAUUUAAGGUAAGUUUUGCCUGUACUCUUUGUGCAGGCCGUGUGAGACAAAUGAACAUUCAGAUUCUGAACACUGAUCUGUUACUGUUUGUAGAUAGAGUUCACUGUUCUGUGCUCAAUUUAAUAUUUGUAAUUGAGCAUGCAUUGCUUAGGGGCCAUAAUCCCUGUAUCUAACUCUCUAAGUCCUAUCCUUUGUAUACACAGAGAAUAAAACAUAGUCUAGCCAGGUGCAGUAUGGGAAAGGCCAGUAGAAGUCACAGAGGUAUGCUUGGCUGUGAGGGUUUAUAGGAUAAAAGGGGGAAGAAAGUCCUAACUGAAUACUCACAGUUAAGAAGACCUCUAAAAAAAAUGGAGGUCAGAUUAAUGCCUAAAGGAAAGAAUAAUUUUUUUUUACACUAUCUCCAAUUCUUCUGACUCCCGCCCCCUAUACCAGGGUGUCCCUUUUAGAGAAUAAAACAGGUAGCAGGAUCAUAACGCUAGAAUACAGAGAGAAUUAAAAAACAGAAGAGGGGGAGGAGUGAAAGCCACUGACUAAUUAAUCCUCCAUUUUUCACAUCAGGGAAAACCUUGGCAUCCAGUGAUGAUGAAUCAAUGCUGCUGACAGAUGCAUCGUGUUGGGAUCCCAAUCAUCUAAUUCUUCCAUCAACAGAAAUGACAGGUGCCUAUGUUAAAAAGGGAAGCUGUGAGCAUAAACCUUCAAAGACCUACAGAGCUCCAGCUCCAAAUCUGUGAGAGUGCAUUUGGCAGAAUCUGAACAAGCAACACAAUGAUUAGAGGGUUUUUGUUUUUUUGUUUGUUUUUAACAGUUUUGUUACAAUGUUUCCACCCCAAAAUGUACCUGGUACCAAAUAUACUCCCUGGAAUCUUCACUACGAUCAAGAUAAUGAACCUAUUCAUCACCCCCAGAAGUUUCCUCGUGCCCCUUUGUAUUACUUUUGUUUGUAAUAGGUAUAAGAAUAAUGCUACAGCACAGUCAAGGUGGAGAAGAGCCAUUUUGGCCUCUUGGUCGAAGCAUCCAUUGUAACAAAACAACUCAGCCUGAUGUCCCAUGAUCAUGAAAGGAGCUCAUGGUAGGACUGAAUGAACACGGUGUCUUACAAAUAUUUAGGCUGAAUCAUGAGGACCAGGGCCCAAGCCUUUAGUAUAGGCCUACUGCUUGAAUAGGAAGGCCUUAUACAACCAAAAUGACCUAGAUUUCCAGCACAUCUUCCUGAUGCUCUGCAAUAUUUAUCUUUUUCUUGGAAGAGCUCAUUAGCAAGAUGGAAGGUGUUCAGGUUACUCACGAAUGUACAUAUUAUAGACUUCUCUUUAUGAGUAUAUGUGUUAGUUUAUUUUUGCAUUGCUACAAAUACCCGAGGCUUGGUAAUUUAUAAAGAAAAGAGGUUUAAUUAGCUCACAGUUCUGUAGGCUGUAUAGGAAGCAUGGUGCUGGCAUCUGCUCAGCUUCUGGUAGGGCCAUAGGGAGGUUUUACUCAUGGCAGAAGGCCAAGGGGGAAAAAGGCAUGGUGAGAGAGGGAGCAAGAGAGAGAGAAGGGGGAGGUCCCAGACUCUCUGAACAACUAGGUCUAUUGUGAACUGAGUGAGAACUCACUCAUCACCAAGGAGAUGGUGCUAAGCCAUUCAUGAGGGAUCUGCCCCCAUCAUCCAAUACUUCCCACCAGGCCCCACCUCCAACAUUGAGGAUCACAUUUCAACAUGAGAUUUGAAAGGGACACACCUCCAAAUCCUAUCAGUAUAUGAAUAAUGUUGAAAUAUACUUUUCUGGGGGAAUAUAGGGGAAGUAGGGCCAGUGGUUUGCUCAUAAAAAAAUUUCAAAAAUUGUGAAAGCCAUCAUUAAAAAUUAAUUUAUAUAUAAACCUGUACUAAAUAAAAGAUCUUAAAAACAAAGUUUAUAAAUACUCAAAACUCAUUACUUCAUAAUUAUUUUACUACAUUUUACUAAUAUCUAUGCUUUUAAGUUUGUGUCUGUUGUGUCUGUAUGGGAGAAAUAUUCUACGGUGGUCUGCUGUUGUCAUUAUAUAUCUUUUCUCAGUUCAGUGUAUUCAGUGAUGUCACCCUGGUAGCUUGAAAUUAGCCAUGAUGGGAAUAGUUACACCAUGGAAACUGGUGAGCACUACAAAUAAAGGCUUGAUUUAUUGUUUUUUGAUUGUUGAUUGCCUCGACCUUAGACAGUUAUACAGGAAAUGCACAUUAAACUUAAAUGUAUGCCUUGACUGUAACCAGCACGGUGUGAAUGGACCAAAAAAUGAGGAAAUAUUCUUCAAGUAUUCAAAAACAAUUCUCUGAUAGAGCAAAGAAGUCACUUCAUCAUUGAGAAACUACUGAAGUUCCUAUAUUUAUCUUCAUUGUUUCACUUUCUUGUUAACAUAAAAAAAUGUGUUAACCAAGAUUUAUGUCAGAACUAUACUGUGGCUCAUCAAUUGCAGCCAUAGGUUGGCUGUGAAUGCAACAGUUUAGUAAAAACAAAAACAUUCUGUGAGAUUCAAUUAGCUAUAUAUAAUUUACAGUAACAAAUAUUGUAUAUAUUAUUAUUUGCAAAUUGUAUGCCAAGAAUCCUUCAUAUUAGUCACAAUUUAUAAUAAUUGUAUGUAUAUGUCCAUCUAUCUAUGCCUAUAUUGUUUUUUUUUUAAAUUAUUAUUAUACUUUAAGUUUUAGGGUACAUGUGCACAAUGUGCAGGUUAGUUACAUAUGUAUACAUGUGCCAUGCUGGUGCGCUGCACCCACUAACUCGUCAUCUAGCAUUAGGUAUAUCUCCCAAUGCUAUUCCGCCCCCCUCCCCCCACCCCACAACAGUCCCCAGAGUGUGAUGUUCCCCU